UAAGCUGGUCGUUGUUUUUUUCCUACACUGGAUGGCAGCAUUUCCACACCAGGUGAAAUGUGGCUGUUCUCAACGGUGCAUCAUCUCCUCACUGGGUGAGAUUCGGAUGCGUCAGCCAGCAGAUCUCCACAGAUGGUUCAUCGUAGCAAGAUGUCACUGAGAGUCAUUAGGCUCGCUGCUUACAGUCAGGGUUGCCUAGGGAGAGUCCCACCGAGACCUCCGGGGUUACUGCGGCCUUCCCCCAGAAAGCAGAAAAGGCGGAGGAGUACGUAAAAAAAGUUGCAGUUGGCGAGCAUCCGACGGUAUUUGGUGGGAAGAGGACGGAGCUGUCCGCGACGCAUUUUCCCAGGCGCUCAGGUCCGCCGACACAAAGCUGAGGGAGGGGAGGCACAGAAAAAGGCAAGGGACGGCAGAGCUCCCGACCGUCAUCUCUUUAUCCAAGCAGUUGCUGGUCUGCAGCUACCUGUUAGCUCUCCGUGGAUGGGUGCACUAACUUUUCGUGCGUCUCCUGGAGUCUUUCUCCUUCUCUCUCUCUCUCUCUCUCUCUCUCUCUCUCUUUCUCAUAAAUGUACAAAAAGAUUUAAUUUUCAGGCUUCAAGACUCAACUGGAAUCACUGACUAGUUGUUAUUCCAGUUGAGUCCCCAGUGUGCACAUUGCUGUCUGUCUGUCCGUGUGGCGACAUGUUUUUUAAAAGGUUUUAAUCUCUUCCUUAUCCACGGACGACGCCAUGAGGCCACAGUGAGGCCAUGGACAUGGGAAAGGCUUUUCUCCACCUUUCCUUUUUCUCGAAUAAGGAAACAUUAGCUCGGCUAGCUGGCUAACAUCACUUCUGCGGGGAGCUUGGAUAACGACAUGUCCUUCAACUUGUGUCGAAGCCGCGUAGCUGGGAUUGGAACGUCACUCGCACAGCGCAGGAGAAAAGCUGUGGGCAGCGACGGAUGCGUUCCUGGACAAGCAGAAGACGGAGAAGGACCGUGCACGUCAGGUCUGAACCAGCACGGCGUCAUCUCCAAGUACACCGCCACGGCCAAGAGGCAGAUCAACAAGCUCAAAGGCCAUUGGAGAACUUUUAAGAGGCCAAAAUUGGUCUGACUUUAUUUUGUAAGAUUUUCUUUCUUUUUAAUUCAAAGCUAAGUCCAGAAAGCUUUCGAAUCAUAUGUUUCUGUUUAGGAGUGGUUUUUUUUUUUUUUUUUUUUUUUAAAAACAAGCUGUAAAACAAAAUUGGGCCCAAGGAAAAGCAGGAGAUCUCACUGCAAUGAUGAAAACGUGUCGGAAGUUUGCAAAGAGCUUUUUUGUAAAUGGUUCAUUUUAUUAUUUUUGUUUUAUUUUCUCCACACAUGUCCCACGUUCAGGUUCACUAUUCAAUUGAUUUGGUCUAACGCUAGAAUGAAACACUGGAAGGGUUUCAUGUCUAUAAAGCUGAAAGUUGUGUUUUUUAAAUGUGAUCAUUUGGAUCUUCACAUUUUGAUUCUUGGAGAUUUGCAACCAUGACACAUUUUCCUUCAGAGAAGCUUUUGUUUUUGUUUUUUUCUGAUAGAUUGUGGCAUUAUUUAUUA